CCUACGGGUGGCAGCAGUGGGGAAUAUUGGACAAUGGGGGCAACCCUGAUCCAGCCAUGCCGCGUGUGUGAAAAAGGCCCUCGGGUUGUAAAGCACUUUCAGUGAGGAAGAACGCCUGGUGGUUAAUACCCAUCAGGAAAGACAUCACUCACAGAAGAAGCACCGGCUAACUCCGUGCCAGCAGCCGCGGUAAUACGGAGGGUGCGAGCGUUAAUCGGAAUUACUGGGCGUAAAGCGCGCGUAGGUGGCUUGAUAAGCCGGUUGUGAAAGCCCCGGGCUCAACCUGGGAACGGCAUCCGGAACUGUCAAGCUAGAGUGCAGGAGAGGAAGGUAGAAUUCCCGGUGUAGCGGUGAAAUGCGUAGAGAUCGGGAGGAAUACCAGUGGCGAAGGCGGCCUUCUGGACUGACACUGACACUGAGGUGCGAAAGCGUGGGUAGCAAACAGGAUUAGAUACCCUGGUAGUC
rnacentral:rRNA from 1 species